GGGGUGCGGUAAUUUUUUUUUGCACUCUCAUUUGCUUGGAGACCUUCGCUAUUUGCAUUUGUACUGCUUUAAGAUUCGUGUUCAGUUGUUGCAAAGGUGCGUUUGCUGUGUCUUUUUCUUUCUCCCCUGAAUUUUACUUAGGUUCUUUUUAUUAAGAUUUUUCCUCACUUUUCUUUAUUAUAGGAUAUUAAUCGUGGCUCGCACGAAACAAACUGCUAGACUCAUGAGUUCUGAGGAGUUAGCCACUGCUGGGCCGAGAGAUGAUGUGCAUGAUGCAAAUAUAGCUGAUGACGAUUUGGGUGGUUCUCGAUGAGUCCACGAGGGUGAAGAUGCGUCUGGCAUGAAAUCUUUUGAAAGCAAAUCUAGAAAUACUAGUGAAGAAGAAGAAGAGGAGGAGGGGGAACAGGAAGAUCUUGAGAAUAUUGAAGCUAAUGUUGAUGAGCUUGUCCCUGAAUGCCCCAAGACUUGCUUCUUUGGUCGCUCGUUAGUGACCCAACGGGAUAUUUACUUUUAUGUCAAGAAAGACUAUUUUGCCAAUGGAGAUUGCAGACCUCCGGAUGAU
rnacentral:lncRNA from 1 species